rnacentral:rRNA from 1 species
AACGCGAAGAACCUUACCUGGGUUUGACAUACACCAGACGCCAGCAGAGAUGUUGGUUCCCUUGUGGUUGGUGUACAGGUGGUGCAUGGCUGUCGUCAGCUCGUGUCGUGAGAUGUUGGGUUAAGUCCCGCAACGAGCGCAACCCUCGCCUUUAGUUGCCAUCAUUUAGUUGGGCACUCUAAAGGAACUGCCGGUGACAAGCCGGAGGAAGGUGGGGAUGACGUCAAGUCCUCAUGGCCCUUAUGUCCUGGGCUACACACGUGCUACAAUGGUGGUGACAGUGGGAAGCUAGGUAGUGAUACCGUGCUGAUCUCUAAAAGCCAUCUCAGUUCAGAUUGUACUCUGCAACUCGAGUACAUGAAGGUGGAAUCGCUAGUAAUCGUGGAUCAGCAUGCCACGGUGAAUACGUUCCCGGGUCUUGUACACACCG